rnacentral:rRNA from 1 species
AUUGAACGCUGGCGGCAGGCCUAACACAUGCAAGUCGAGCGAGCGGCGGACGGGUGAGUACUGUAUGGGGACUGCCCGAUAGAGGGGGAUAACUACUGGAAACGGUAGCUAAUCACGCAUACUAUCGGAUAACCCAUAUGGGAUUAGCUCGUUGGUGAGGUAAUGGCUAACCAAGGAGACGAUCCCUAGCUGGUCUGCGAGGAUGAUCAGCCACACUGUGACUGAGACACGGCCCAGACUCCUACGGAGGCAGCAGUGGGGAAUAUUGCAAAAUGGGCACAAGCCUGAUGCAGCCAUGCCGCGUGUAUGAAGAAGGCCCUAGGGUUGUAAAGUACUUGCAGUCGGGAGGCGUUACCGACAGAAGAAGCACCGGCUAACUCCGUGCCAGCAGCCGCGGUAAUUC